rnacentral:rRNA from 1 species
GUGGGGAAUAUUGGACAAUGGGCGCAAGCCUGAUCCAGCCAUGCCGCGUGAGUGAUGAAGGCCUUAGGGUUGUAAAGCUCUUUCAGUAGGGAAGAUAAUGACGGUACCUACAGAAGAAGCCCCGGCUAACUUCGUGCCAGCAGCCGCGGUAAUACGAAGGGGGCUAGCGUUGUUCGGAUUUACUGGGCGUAAAGCGCACGUAGGCGGAAUGUUAAGUCAGAGGUGAAAUCCUGGAGCUCAACUCCAGAACUGCCUUUGAUACUGGCAAUCUCGAGUCCGGAAGAGGUGAGUGGAACUCCUAGUGUAGAGGUGGAAUUCGUAGAUAUUAGGAAGAACACCAGUGGCGAAGGCGGCUCACUGGUCCGGUACUGACGCUGAGGUGCGAAAGCGUGGGGAGCAAACAGGAUUAGAUACCCGAGUAGUCC